rnacentral:rRNA from 1 species
CCUACGGGAGGCAGCAGUGAGGAAUAUUGGUCAAUGGGCGCGAGCCUGAACCAGCCAAGUAGCGUGAAGGAUGACUGCCCUACGGGUUGUAAACUUCUUUUAUAAAGGAAUAAAGUGAGGCACGUGAGCCUUCUUGUUUGUACUUUAUGAAUAAGGAUCGGCUAACUACGUGCCAGCAGCCGCGGUAAUACGGAGGGUCCGAGCGUUAUCCGGAUUUAUUGGGUUUAAAGGGAGCGUAGAUGGGUUGUUAAGUCAGUUGUGAAAGUUUGCGGCUCAACCGUAAAAUUGCAAUUGAUACUGGCAGUCUUGAGUACAGAUGAGGUAGGUGGAAUUCGUGGUGUAGCGGUGAAAUGCUUAGAUAUCACGAAGAACUCCGAUUGCGAAGGCAGCUUACUAAACUGCAACUGACAUUGAUGCUCGAAAGUGUGGGUAUCAAACAGGAUUAGAUACCCCGGUAGUC